rnacentral:sRNA from 1 species
GUCUUUUCGAGGUAGGAGUCGACUCCUGUGAGGUAUGGUGCUGGGUGCAGAUGCAGUGUGGCUCUGGAUAGCACCUUAUGGACAGUUGUGUCCCCAAGGAAGGAUGAGAAUAGCUACUGAAGUCCUAAAGAGCAAGCCUAACUCAAGCCAUUGGCACACAGGCAUUAGACAGAAAGCUGGAAGUUGAAAUGGUGGAGUCCAACUUGCCUGGACCAGCUUAAUGGUUCUGCUCCUGGUAACGUUUUUAUCCAUGGAUGACUUGCUUGGGGUUUUUAAUGACCACAACAAGCAAGCAUGCAGCUUACUGCUUGAAAGGGUCUUGCCUCACCCAAGCUAGAGUGCAGUGGCCUUUGAAGCUUACUACAGCCUCAAACUUCUGGGCUCAAGUGAUCCUCAGCCUCCCAGUGGUCUUUGUAGACUGCCUGAUGGAGUCUCAUGGCACAAGAAGAUUAAAACAGUGUCUCCAAUUUUAAUAAAUUUUUGCAAUCCAUCAAAAAAAAAAAAAAAAAA